UCGUCAGCGGUGUUUAUGACAGUUGAGUAUCAGUAUUCGGUGUAGAAGGAGUACCGUUUAUAAUUUUACAUCUUUUGUGUUUAUUAGAUUGGAGCGGCGUUAUUGAUGAGAAUAAAAUGAUGCAUUCAGAUUUUUAAGAUAGUUUUGCUUAUCUUCGAAAACCAAAUUACAAACAAUUUAUGUGCAUGUCGGUAAUAUCGCCAAGUCCAAUGGAUGGUAAUAACGCCUUGGCGUUACCAUCCCUUCUAGGAGUUUUGGUUGCCUUGGCAACUUUCUCCAGAUACGUCUAAGGUUGGAAAAAUUAAGUCAUCGACAAGCAACAGUGAUUCUGAUGAUAUAGAGUUAAGUGAGAUGGAAACAUCAGAUGAAGAAAAACAUGACACUUCAUUUUCAGAUACGCUAACCACUCCAGAUUAUGGUACAAAAAGGUUAUUGUUCUUAAAUACUUACUUAUUGUUACUUUUCAGCAAAUAUAUCAUUUUGAAGUAUAA
rnacentral:lncRNA from 1 species